rnacentral:rRNA from 1 species
UACGGGGGGAGCAAGCGUUGUUCGGAUUUACUGGGCGUAAAGGGCGCGUAGGCGGCGUGACAAGUCACUUGUGAAAUCUCCGGGCUUAACUCGGAGCGGUCAAGUGAUACUGUCGUGCUAGAGUGCGGAAGGGGCUACUGGAAUUCUCGGUGUAGCGGUGAAAUGCGUAGAUAUCGAGAGGAACACCUGCGGCGAAGGCAAUCCCCUGGGCCUGCACUGACGCUCAUGCACGAAAGCGUGGGGAGCAAACAGG